rnacentral:rRNA from 1 species
AUGAUUGAAAUGAUUGGAAACUUUGGUAAAGGUUUUAAACCUCCAUCAUAUCAUGAAGUGAGGGUAAAAUUUCUCAAGCUGGAAGUUAAGAGAACAAUGAAUUUGCUCUCUGAAUACAAAGAUGAGUGGAAAAAGACAGGAUGUACAAUUAUGUCUGAUGGAUGGACAGAUAAAAAGAAAAGGUCCAUCUGCAACUUUUUAGUGAAUAGCCCCAAAGGUACUGUCUUUCUCGCCUCAGUCGAUACUUCUGACAUUUCCAAGACAGCGGACAAAGUGUUUGAAAUGUUAGAUGAUAUUGUUGAGCAAGUAGGAGAAGAUAAUGUUGUUCAAAUUGUAACGGACAAUGCCGCUAACUAUAAAGCAGCUGGUGAGCUAUUGAUGGAAAAGAGGAAAAAAAUAUUUUGGACUCCAUGUGCAGCUCAUUGUAUUGAUUUAAUUCUCGAGGAUUUUGAAAAGAAAAUUAAGAUGCAUCAGACGUAUAUUUAUUCUAGAACAAUGGUUCUUUCUUGGUUGAGAGAGUUCACUGGAGGGAAGGAUUUAGUUAGGCCAGCAGUGACAAGAUUUGCUACUGCCUAUUUGACUUUGGGUUGUCUGCAUGAGCACAAGGGCGCAUUAAUCAAUAUGUUCACUUCAACAAAGUGGAGGGGUAGUAGAUUUAAUUCUGCAGAAGGGAAGGUCGUUCAAGGAAUUGUGUUGGAUAGCCGUGGGUUUUGGCCUAAUGUUGCCACAUGUCUGAAGGAUGCACUCCCAAUUAUAAAAGUUCUUCGAUUGGUGGAUUCAGAUGAGAAGCCAGCAAUGCCGUUCAUCUAUGAUGAGAUGGAUCGUGCAAAAGAUAAAAUAAAGAAAAAUUUUAACAAUGCGAAGAAAAGGUAUGUUACUGUACUAACUUAG